GACGAACGCUGGCGGCGUGCUUAACACAUGCAAGUCGAACGGAAAGGCCCUGCUUUUGUGGGGUGCUCGAGUGGCGAACGGGUGAGUAACACGUGAGUAACCUGCCCUUGACUUUGGGAUAACUUCAGGAAACUGGGGCUAAUACCGGAUAGGAGCUCCUGCUGCAUGGUGGGGGUUGGAAAGUUUCGGCGGUUGGGGAUGGACUCGCGGCUUAUCAGCUUGUUGGUGGGGUAGUGGCUUACCAAGGCUUUGACGGGUAGCCGGCCUGAGAGGGUGACCGGCCACAUUGGGACUGCGAGACGGCCCAGACUCCUACGGGAGGCAGCAGUGGGGAAUAUUGCACAAUGGGCGGAAGCCUGAUGCAGCCGCGCCGCGUGCGGGAUGACGGCCUUCGGGUUGUAAACCGCUUUCGCCUGUGACGAAGCGUGAGUGACGGUAAUGGGUAAAGAAGCACCGGCUAACUACGUG
rnacentral:rRNA from 1 species